rnacentral:rRNA from 1 species
UACGUAGGGUGCGAGCGUUAAUCGGAAUUACUGGGCGUAAAGCGCACGUAGGCGGAUUGGUCAGUUAGGGGUGAAAUCCUGGAGCUCAACUCCAGAACUGCCUUUAAUACUGCCAGUCUCGAGUCCGGAAGAGGUAAGUGGAACUCCUAGUGUAGAGGUGAAAUUCGUAGAUAUUCGCAAGAACACCAGUGGCGAAGGCGGCCAACUGGUCCGGUACUGACGCUGAGGUGCGAAAGCGUGGGGAGCAAACAGGGAUUAAGAAACC